rnacentral:rRNA from 1 species
GACGAACGCUGGCGGCGUGCUUAACACAUGCAAGUCGAACGUGAUUUUUGUGGAAAUUCUUUCGGGAAUGGAAAUGAAAUGAAAGUGGCGAACGGGUGAGUAACACGUGAGCAACCUACCUUACACAGGGGGAUAGCCGUUGGAAACGACGAUUAAUACCGCAUGAGACCACAGAAUCGCAUGAUAUAGGGGUCAAAGAUUUAUCGGUGUAAGAAGGGCUCGCGUCUGAUUAGCUAGUUGGAAGGGUAAAGGCCUACCAAGGCGACGAUCAGUAACCGGUCUGAGAGGAUGAACGGCCACAUUGGAACUGAGACACGGUCCAAACUCCUACGGGAAGCAGCAGUGGGGAAUAUUGCACAAUGGGGGGAACCCUGAUGCAGCGACGCCGCGUGAGCGAAGAAGGUUUUCGAAUCGUAAAGCUCUGUCCUAUGAGAAGAUAAUGACGGUAUCAUAGGAGGAAGCCCCGGCUAAAUACGUG